rnacentral:rRNA from 1 species
GAUGAACGCUGGCGGCGUGCCUAAUACAUGCAAGUCGAGCGAACAGACGAGGAGCUUGCUCCUCUGACGUUAGCGGUGGACGGGUGAGUAACACGUGGAUAACCUACCUAUAAGACUGGGAUAACUUCGGGAAACCGGAGCUAAUACCGGAUAAUAUAUUGAACCGCAUGGUUCAAUAGUGAAAGACGGUUUUGCUGUCACUUAUAGAUGGAUCCGCGCCGCAUUAGCUAGUUGGUAAGGUAACGGCUUACCAAGGCAACGAUGCGUAGCCGACCUGAGAGGGUGAUCGGCCACACUGGAACUGGGACACGGUCCAGACUCCUACGGGAGGCAGCAGUAGGGAAUCUUCCGCAAUGGGCGAAAGCCUGACGGAGCAACGCCGCGUGAGUGAUGAAGGUCUUCGGAUCGUAAAACUCUGUUAUUAGGGAAGAACAAAUGUGUAAGUAACUAUGCACGUCUUGACGGUACCUAAUCAGAAAGCCACGGCUAACUACGUG